GCUAACAAAUGACAUCAAGAAAUAGGCCCGCGGUCCUUAUGGCUCGCCUGGAGAGUCGAAUUUCAAACGAAUUUCACCGCAACUUUGCUUCAGAAGCUUAUGAUAUGAAAAAUUGAUUAUAUCUAAAGUGUCUUAAAGUCGGAAACUAAAUUGGGACUCAUUUGUCUUUUUUUUUUUUUUUUAACUCCGAGUGCAUCAACAAAUCAGACGGAAGACCUAUUUGUUGCUCGCAACGAGAUCGUGUCUAGUUAUUAUUAUUAUUAUUUCAUACUGCAUGCCAGAUUUCAUUAUUUUUUAUAUAUCAUCAUUUACUUUAUGUAUGUGUGAAUUCCUAAAAUCAUUUAAGUGUUAAUAAUUUUACACGUGUUGUUCUGAAGUUAUCUGUAAAGUGUUGUCCCACAGAUUUGUGUGUUAAUUUCCUGUUUACACAAACAGAAAUGCAAGGAAUAGAAAUAUGAUACAUGAUCCAAUUGAUAUUUCAAAAUUUUCCCUGGCCUAAGUGUUCUUUUCACUGUACUAUGCUACAUACAAAAUGUGGUUCUGCAUACAUGCCAACUUUCCCGAUUUAGGCGGGAUCUUCCCGAUUUUACCCUCCGGUCCCGCUUUCCCGAUCGGGAAAGCAAAAUUACCCUAAAAUCCCGAUUUGAAAUUUUUUCCGACCAAAAUUUCCGAUUUCACGAUUGAAAACGAGUUUGAAAGCGGAAUAAUUGUGAAAUCUCGUGACCAGAAUUGGAAAUCCCGCGUCAUUUCUGAACUGGCCAAUCAGAAAUCGGGACAAUAGUCAGCCAUUGCUGUUUACCUGUGUCGCAUGGUGUCGGGUUGGUCUGCCUGUGUCGGGGCGUUUAUUGGACAGUACGAAGCAUGUUUUGAUAGUAAUUAAUCGGGAAGACGGAUUUCAAAUUGACCUAUCCUUUACACAAACGUGAAUGACAACGAUGCUAGUGUCACCACCAAACAAUCGGACAUUCCGCCUCUCGCUGACAGUAUCCAAAAUUUGCAAUAAGAUGUCAUGGGUGCAAAGGUUUUGUUCGCAAACUUCAUAGCAGGACAGAUCACUCCUUUUUUGGUUGCAAUGCAGAUUAUUCCACCAGUCUCUGCAAGCCCAUGUUUACAGACAAGCAAGAUCGCCUUUGCAGUCGUACCUAAAUGCAUGUGCUUUAAUUUAAAUUUUGAUAUAUAGACCGGCCAAUGUUUAUUGUAUGGUGUAAAAGGAUGCAACCUUAAAUAUUAUUUGAUAUUAUGUAUGUGACUUGUUGGAGAAGAUUUUUUGCUGAAUAGAUGAUUUUAAUAAAAUAUUAAUGUAUA